rnacentral:rRNA from 1 species
UGCCGGAGAGCUAUUGCUAUCGGGGUCCGAUUCAGCCAUGCUAGUUGUACGGGUUUAGACCCGUAGCAAAUAGCUCCGUAACACGUGGUCAAACUACCCUCUGGACCGGAAUACCCUCGGGAAACUGAGGCUAAUUCCGGAUACUGCUUUCAUGUUGGAACACAGAAAGUCGGAAACGGUCCGCCGCCGGAGGACGUGACUGCGGCCGAUUAGGUAGACGGUGGGGUAACGGCCCACCGUGCCGAUAAUCGGUACGGGUUGUGAGAGCAAGAACCCGGAGACGGUAUCUGAGACAAGAUACCGGGCCCUACGGGGCGCAGCAGGCGCGAAACCUUUACACUGCACGCCAGUGCGAUAAGGGGACCCCGAGUGCGAGGGCAUACAGUCCUCGCUUUUCGUGACCGUAAGAAGGUCUCAGAAUAAGAGCUGGGCAAGACCGGUGCCAGCCGCCGCGGUAAUACCGGCAGCUCGAGUGAUAGCCACUAUUAUUGGGCCUAAAGCGUCCGUAGCCGGCCGAACAGGUCCGUCGGGAAAUCCACCCGCUCAACGGGUGGACGUCCGGCGGAAACCAGUCGGCUUGGGGCCGGGAGACCAGAGAGGUACGUCCGGGGUAGGAGUGAAAUCCCGUAAUCCUGGACGGACCGCCGGUAGCGAAAGCGUCUCUGGAGAACGGACCCGACGGUGAGGGACGAAAGCUUGGGUCUCGAACCGGAUUAGAUACCCGGGUAGUCCAAGCUGUAAACGAUGCUCGCUAGGUGUGGCGUUGGCUACGAGCCAGCGCUGUGCCGUAGGGAAGCCGAGAAGCGAGCCGCCUGGGAAGUACGUCCGCAAGGAUGAA